rfam:Cicer arietinum chromosome Ca2, whole genome shotgun sequence.
UUUCUGUUGUGAUGAACUAAGAUGUAAAUUCACAUGUCAGACUUCAGAGAUUUUCAUAAUCUAUGAGAAUAACAAUUCUUAUUCACUGAGCAGAAA